GCUCAAAAUACCUUCUAUUUAUUACAAUUUUAAAGAGAAAAAAAUAUGUUUGAAGUUCUCAAAUUCGUUCAUGUCUUUAUCAUAUUUCUUUCUCUAAUUGUUAUUGUAUCCUCUCAUCGUUAUGUGUUCUGCACUAGUGACGAUGAUUGUCGAACAUAUAUGUGCACUACUGACGAAUGUCAAGUUCCCAAGUGCAUUUGGUAUUGGUGUUCCUGCGUGGAUGAGUAACAAAAGUUUUAGGGGUUUAAGAAUCAUGCAAGAUUUCUAAAACGUAAAGUGAUCAAUUAAGUGAAUGACUUCUGUUGAAAUCCACUAACUUUGGUAUAUUAUUAUAUGUAUUUUAUUAGUUACUUAUUUCUGAUAUUAACUACACUACUUUUAUGGAAGUUAGUUUUGAUUUUAUUUGUAUAAAUAAUCAACUUCGUCGUUAUUAUUAUGAAGUGAAAGUAAUUGCAUCUA